rnacentral:rRNA from 1 species
AUUGAACGCUGGCGGCAUGCCUUACACAUGCAAGUCGAACGGCAGCGCGGACUUCGGUCUGGCGGCGAGUGGCGAACGGGUGAGUAAUGUAUCGGAACGUACCAUUCAGUGGGGGAUAACGCAGCGAAAGUUGCGCUAAUACCGCAUAUUCUGUGCGCAGGAAAGCAGGGGAUCGCAAGACCUUGCGCUGAUUGAGCGGCCGAUAUCAGAUUAGCUAGUUGGUGAGGUAAAGGCUCACCAAGGCGACGAUCUGUAGCGGGUCUGAGAGGAUGAUCGCCACACUGGAACUGAGACACGGUCCAGACUCCUACGGGAGGCAGCAGUGGGGAAUUUUGGACAAUGGGCGCAAGCCUGAUCCAGCCAUGCCGCGUGAGUGAAGAAGGCCU